rnacentral:lncRNA from 10 species
UGAGAUGGUAUCUCAUUGUGGUUUUGAUUUGCAUUUCUCUAAUGACCAGUGAUGAUGAGCAUUUUUUCAUAUGUUUGUUGGCUGCAUAAAUGUCUUCUUUUGACAAGUGCCUGUUCAUAUCCUUCACCCACUUUAUUCUGAGUAGCUCCAGGGGCUGAAUCUUCAUCCAGCCAGAAACAGGCAAAAAGACUAUGGUUUCUUUUUCUGCAAAGAGUCAAGGACCUGCUCUGUGAGGGGUUCAGAGGUCUUGGCUGUCUGCUUUGAUAUAGAGGGAAUUCCUCCUAUGACUAAAGAAACAGCUCAAAUUUAGUACAGAUUUGAAAUGCUGUUGUGUCAGAUGAAAUGAAGACAGAGAACCAAUUACAAUCACCACACAUUAAAUUAGCUCAAUUAAAGCAGAGUGGUUUUUAAUCAUUUAUUCCCUUUUUUAUGGGGUGGUUAUUAUAGCUCUGGCAUUGUGUUAAGGCACAGAAAGACAAAAAGAUGGGGUUCCUGCCUGCACCAGGCGCAACAUUUGGGGGCAAAGGAGGCAAGAGAGUAACAGCUAUGACAUGUGGCAUGCGUUCUUGCAGAAGCAUCCUGUAAGUCGCUGUAGCUUGCAGGUGCAGGCCACGAGGCUUUCCUUUUACAGACCCCAGUGUGCUCCUGCAUCAAAAAGGCACCCAAAGGAUGAUCAGGGUUCCACCAGGCAGCCAAUGGGACUGUAAGUGCU